rnacentral:rRNA from 1 species
GAUGAACGCUGGCGGCGUGCCUAAUACAUGCAAGUCGAGCGAACGGACGAGAAGCUUGCUUUUCUGAUGUUAGCGGCGGACGGGUGAGUAACACGUGGAUAACCUACCUAUAAGACUGGGAUAACUUCGGGAAACCGGAGCUAAUACCGGAUAAUAUUUUGAACCGCAUGGUUCAUAAGUGAAAGACGGUCUUGCUGUCACUUAUAGAUGGAUCCGCGCUGCAUUAGCUAGUUGGUAAGGUAACGGCUUACCAAGGCAACGAUGCAUAGCCGACCUGAGAGGGUGAUCGGCCACACUGGAACUGAGACACGGUCCAGACUCCUACGGGAGGCAGCAGUAGGGAAUCUUCCGCAAUGGGCGAAAGCCUGACGGAGCAACGCCGCGUGAGUGAUGAAGGUAUUCGGAUCGUAAAACUCUGUUAUUAGGGAAGAACAUAUGUGUAAGUAACUGUGCACAUCUUGACGGUACCUAAUCAGAAAGCCACGGCUAACUACGUG